CCGAGUUUACAACUCCCAAACCCCUAUGUGAACGUUACCAAAAUGUUGCCUCGGCGGGGAAUUUAUUCAUGCCCCGGGCGCGUCGCAGCCCCGGACCAAGGCGCCCGCCGGAGGACCAACCAAACUCUUUCUGUAGUCCCCUCGCGGACGUUAUUUCUUACAGCUCUGAGCAAAAAUUCAAAAUGAAUCA
rnacentral:misc_RNA from 1 species